UACGGGGGGAGCAAGCGUUGUUCGGAUUUACUGGGCGUAAAGGGCGCGUAGGCGGUCAGCACAAGUCAGUUGUGAAAUCUCCGGGCCUAACUCGGAAAGGUCAACUGAUACUGUGCGACUAGAGUGCGGAGGGGGCAACUGGAAUUCUCGGUGUAGCGGUGAAAUGCGUAGAUAUCGAGAGGAACACCUGCGGCGAAGGCGGGUUGCUGGGCCGACACUGACGCUGAUGCGCGAAAGCCAGGGGAGCGAACGGG
rnacentral:rRNA from 1 species